AAAGGUUGUGGUUCCUUCAUCUCUUUCGUUUCGUCCUUGCCUUCACCCCAAAGCCUAUUUUCCCAUUUUCCCCUUUUCAUGAUAACAACUCUCCAUGUAGGGCAAACUUCACUUCAAUUGAACUAACUUGUCUGUGGCUUUUUGUAGAUUGAUUCAAUUCAAUGGGUUCAGUAAUGCUCAGUGGAACUGAAAAGCUCACUCUCAGAACCCUAACCGGGAACGGCUUAGGUUUCACUGGUUCGGAUUUGCACGGUAAGAACUUCCCAAGAGUGAGUUUCGCUGCUACCACUAGUGCUAAAGUUCCCAACUUUAGAAGCAUAGUAGUACCCAAGUGUAGUGUCUCGGCUUCCAGGCCAAGCUCGCAGCCAAGGUUCAUUCAGCACAAAAAAGAGGCCUUUUGGUUCUAUAGGUUUCUCUCAAUUGUGUAUGACCAUGUCAUUAACCCUGGCCAUUGGACCGAGGACAUGAGGGAUGAUGCCCUUGAACCCGCUGAUCUCAAUGACAGGAACAUGAUUGUGGUGGAUGUUGGUGGCGGCACGGGUUUCACCACUCUUGGUAUUGUCAAGCACGUGGAUGCCAAGAAUGUCACCAUUCUUGACCAGUCACCCCACCAGCUCGCCAAGGCCAAGCAGAAGGAGCCACUCAAGGAAUGCAAAAUAAUCGAAGGGGAUGCCGAGGAUCUCCCCUUUCGAACUGAUUAUGCCGAUAGAUAUGUAUCCGCAGGAAGUAUUGAGUACUGGCCGGAUCCACAGCGUGGCAUCAAGGAGGCAUACAGGGUUUUGAAACUUGGAGGCAAAGCGUGUCUAAUUGGUCCGGUCUACCCAACAUUUUGGUUGUCACGUUUCUUUGCAGAUGUUUGGAUGCUUUUCCCCAAGGAGGAAGAGUAUAUUGAGUGGUUUCAGAAGGCAGGGUUUAAGGACGUCCAACUAAAAAGGAUUGGCCCAAAAUGGUAUCGUGGGGUUCGCCGUCAUGGCUUGAUUAUGGGUUGUUCAGUGACCGGUGUUAAACCUGCAUCUGGAGAUUCUCCUUUGCAGCUUGGUCCAAAGGAAGAAGAUGUUGAAAAGCCCGUUAAUCCUUUUGUCUUUGCACUGCGCUUCGUUUUGGGUGCCUUGGCAGCGACAUGGUUUGUGUUGGUUCCUAUUUACAUGUGGCUGAAAGAUCAAGUUGUUCCCAAAGGUCAGCCAAUCUAAGAGAUAUUGAUAAUUAGUAAUCCUUUUGAUACUUAUCAGUGUCUUCUCCAAAGUUUCAUCAAAUGUCAAAUAGUUUAUUACGUAAUUGAGUUUAAAUUUUCUGGGUGCUUUAGCAAGCUAUGAUAAUUUGGGCGGGAGGGGCUAAUGCAACGUCAUUUUGUUCUGUCCAUCAGCAGUCUUAGAGGUCAAUUAUUCCAACAUUGUUUUAUGCAAUGAUUAUAUAAGGACGUUAAUGUUUGUUUAGGGUCUAACAUUCCUUUCUUUUUAUCAACUGAUACUAAUCCAA